rnacentral:rRNA from 1 species
AGCGCAGGCGGCCAAGUCAGUCUGAAGUGAAAGCCCGGGGGCUUAACCCCCGGAAUAGCUUUGGAUACUGCCUGGCUUGAGUGUGCGAUAGGAAAGCGGAAUUCCAGGUGUAGCGGUGAAAUGCGUAGAUAUCUGGAGGAACACCGGUGGCGAAAGCGGCUUUCUGGCGCAUAACUGACGCUGAGGCUCGAAAGCGUGGGGAGCGAACG